UACGGAGGGGGCUAGCGUUGUUCGGAAUUACUGGGCGUAAAGCGCGCGUAGGCGGACCUGCAAGUCGGGGGUGAAAGCCCGAGGCUCAACCUCAGAACUGCCUUCGAUACUGCGGGUCUCGAGUCCGGGAGAGGUGAGUGGAAUUCCUAGUGUAGAGGUGAAAUUCGUAGAUAUUAGGAAGAACACCAGUGGCGAAGGCG
rnacentral:rRNA from 1 species